rnacentral:rRNA from 1 species
AGAGUUUGAUUCUGGCUCAGGAUGAACGCUAGCGACAGGCUUAACACAUGCAAGUCGAGGGGCAGCGGGGGAGUAGCAAUACUCCCGCCGGCGACCGGCGCACGGGUGAGUAACACGUAUGAAACCUGCCCGUAGCAGGGGGAUAAGCGGAAGAAAUUCCGUCUAAUACCGCGUAACAACCCUUGGAGGCAUCUCCUCGGGUUUAAAGGAAGCGAUUCCGGCUACGGAUGGUCAUGCGUCGCAUUAGCUUGUUGGCGGGGUAACGGCCCACCAAGGCGACGAUGCGUAGGGGUUCUGAGAGGAAGGUCCCCCACACUGGUACUGAGACACGGACCAGACUCCUACGGGAGGCAGCAGUGAGGAAUAUUGGUCAAUGGCCGCAGGGCUGAACCAGCCAAGUCGCGUGAGGGAUGACGGUCCUGUGGAUUGUAAACCUCUUUUGUCAGGGAGCAAAGGGCGUCACGUGUGGCGCUUUGCGAGUACCUGAAGAAAAAGCAUCGGCUAACUCCGUGC